AUUGAACGCUGGCGGCAGGCCUAACACAUGCAAGUCGAACGGUAACAGGAAGAAGCUUGCUUCUUUGCUGACGAGUGGCGGACGGGUGAGUAAUGUCUGGGAAACUGCCUGAUGGAGGGGGAUAACUACUGGAAACGGUAGCUAAUACCGCAUAACGUCGCAAGACCAAAGAGGGGGACCUUCGGGCCUCUUGCCAUCGGAUGUGCCCAGAUGGGAUUAGCUAGUAGGUGGGUAACGGCUCACCUAGGCGACGAUCCCUAGCUGGUCUGAGAGGAUGACCAGCCACACUGGAACUGAGACACGGUCCAGACUCCUACGGGAGGCAGCAGUGGGGAAUAUUGCACAAUGGGCGCAAGCCUGAUGCAGCCAUGCCGCGUGUAUGAAGAAGGCCUUCGGGUUGUAAAGUACUUUCAGCGGGGAGGAAGGGAGUAAAGUUAAUACCUUUGCUCAUUGACGAUACCCGCAGAAGAAGCACCGGCUAACUCCGUG
rnacentral:rRNA from 1 species